rnacentral:rRNA from 1 species
UACGGAGGGAGCUAGCGUUGUUUGGAAUUACUGGGCGUAAAGCGCGCGUAGGCGGCUUUGUAAGUUAGAGGUGAAAGCCCGGGGCUCAACCCCGGAAUUGCCUUUAAGACUGCAUCGCUUGAAUCCGGGAGAGGUGAGUGGAAUUCCGAGUGUAGAGGUGAAAUUCGUAGAUAUUCGGAAGAACACCAGUGGCGAAGGCGGCUCACUGGACCGGCAUUGACGCUGAGGUGCGAAAGCGUGGGGAGCAAACAGG